rnacentral:ncRNA from 1 species
GGAGCCCUGCGGUGGCCGAAGCCUUUAGUUCCACUAAAGGUCCGUAUGUAGGCCACUGCGGGGCUUA